AUUGAACGCUGGCGGCAUGCUUUACACAUGCAAGUCGAACGGUAACAGGCCGCAAGGUGCUGACGAGUGGCGAACGGGUGAGUAAUGCAUCGGAACGUGCCCAGUCGUGGGGGAUAACGCAGCGAAAGCUGUGCUAAUACCGCAUACGAUCUAUGGAUGAAAGCGGGGGACCGUAAGGCCUCGCGCGAUUGGAGCGGCCGAUGUCAGAUUAGGUAGUUGGUGGGGUAAAGGCCCACCAAGCCAACGAGCUGUAGCUGGUCUGAGAGGACGACCAGCCACACUGGGACUGAGAAACGGCCAAGACUCCUACGGGAGGCAGCAGUGGGGAAUUUUGGACAAUGGGCGCAAGCCUGAUCCAGCAAUGCCGCGUGCAGGAAGAAGGCCUUCGGGUUGUAAACUGCUUUUGUACGGAACGAAAAGGUCUGGGUUAAUACCCUGGGCCGAUGACGGUACCGUGAGAAUAAGCACCGGCUAACUACGUGCCAGCAGCCGCCGUAAAAC
rnacentral:rRNA from 1 species